GACGAACGCUGGCGGCGUGCUUAACACAUGCAAGUCGAACGGAAAGGCCUGCUUUCCCUUGUGGAUUGCGGGUACUCGAGUGGCGAACGGGUGAGUAACACGUGAGUGAUCUGCCCCCAACUUGGGUAUAAGCCUGGGAAACUGGGUCUAAUUCCCGAUAGGACUGCAGGGUGGUGCCUGUGGUGGAAAACGAUUUUCUAGUGGUUGGGGAUGAGCUCGCGGCCUAUCAGCUUGUUGGUGGGGUAAUGGCCUACCAAGGCGGCGACGGGUAGCCGGCCUGAGAGGGUGGACGGCCACAUUGGGACUGAGAUACGGCCCAGACUCCUACGGGAGGCAGCAGUGGGGAAUAUUGCACAAUGGGCGGAAGCCUGAUGCAGCGACGCCGCGUGGGGGAUGACGGCCUUCGGGUUGUAAACUCCUUUCGACCGCGAGGAAGCCACCUGGUUGGAAGGGUGGUGACGGUAGUGGUAGAAGAAACACCGGCUAACUACGU
rnacentral:rRNA from 1 species